UGUCCUGUGGUGCAGUGGUUUGAGUGUUGGACUAGGACUCUGGAGAUCAAGGUUUGAUUCCCUGCAUGGCAA